GGGGUUGUAGCUCAGUGGUAGAGCGCCUGCCUCGCAAGCAUGAGGCUCUGGGUUCGAUCCUUAGCACCA
rnacentral:tRNA from 1 species